GACGAACGCUGGCGGCGUGCCUAAUACAUGCAAGUCGAGCGGUCCCUUCGGGGAUAGCGGCGGACGGGUGAGUAACACGUAGGCAACCUGCCUGUAAGAUCGGGAUAACUAUCGGAAACGAUAGCUAAGACCGGAUAGCUGGUCUUCUCGCAUGAGAAGAUCAUGAAACACGGGGCAACCUGUGGCUUACAGAUGGGCCUGCGGCGCAUUAGCUAGUUGGUAGGGUAACGGCCUACCAAGGCGACGAUGCGUAGCCGACCUGAGAGGGUGAACGGCCACACUGGGACUGAGACACGGCCCAGACUCCUACGGGAGGCAGCAGUAGGGAAUCUUCCGCAAUGGACGCAAGUCUGACGGAGCAACGCCGCGUGAGUGAUGAAGGUUUUCGGAUCGUAAAGCUCUGUUGCCCUAGACGAAUAGCAGGGAGAGUAACUGCUCUUUGUGUGACGGUAUAGGAGAAGAAAGCCCCGGCUAACUACGUGC
rnacentral:rRNA from 1 species